AAGCAAUAAGUAAUCCACCUGGGGAGUACGAUCGCAAGAUUGAAACUCAAAGGAAUUGACGGGGGCCCGCACAAGCGGAGGAGCAUGUGGUUUAAUUCGAUGAUACGCGAGGAACCUUACCUGGGCUCGAACGUGAGAUGACUAUGGGUGAAAGCUCACAUCUCUUCGGAGCAUUUUACGAGGUGCUGCAUGGUUGUCGUCAGCUCGUGCCGUGAGGUGUCGGGUUAAGUCCCAUAACGAGCGCAACCCCUACCUUUAGUUGCCAACAGGUCAUGCUGGGGACUCUAAAGGAACUGCCUACGCAAGUAGUGAGGAAGGCGGGGAUGACGUCAAAUCAGCACGGCCCUUACGUCCAGGGCUACACACGUGCUACAAUGGCCGAUACAGAGGGCAGCUACCUGGUGACAGGAUGCAAAUCUCGAAAGUCGGUCUCA
rnacentral:rRNA from 1 species